GAGUUUGAUCUUGGCUCAGAUUGAACGCUGGCGGCAUGCCUUACACAUGCAAGUCGAACGGCAGCAUGAUCUAGCUUGCUAGAUUGAUGGCGAGUGGCGAACGGGUGAGUAAUACAUCGGAACGUGCCCUGUAGUGGGGAUAACUAGUCGAAAGAUUAGCUAAUACCGCAUACGACCUGAGGGUGAAGGUGGGGGACCGGCAAGGCCUCAUGCUAUAGGAGCGGCCGAUGUCUGAUUAGCUAGUUGGUGGGGUAAAGGCCCACCAAGGCGACGAUCAGUAGCUGGUCUGAGAGGACGAUCAGCCACACUGGGACUGAGACACGGCCCAGACUCCUACGGGAGGCAGCAGUGGGGAAUUUUGGACAAUGGGGCGGAAAAGCCCGU
rnacentral:rRNA from 1 species